UGUGUAGGCGGUUUACUAAGUCACUUGUAAAAGAUCUCAGCUCAACUGAGUAAAGCGAGUGAAACUGGUAGACUUGAAUAUGGUAGAGGUAAGUGGAAUUCCAUGCGUAGCGGUGGAAUGCGUAGAUAUAUGGAGGAACACCAAUGGCGAAGGCAACUUACUGGGCCAGAAUUGACGCUGAGACACGAAAGCGUGGGGAGCAAACAGGAUUAGAUACCCUGGUAGUCC
rnacentral:rRNA from 1 species